CUGAUCAUCAUGAAUGGCUGGAACAACAACUUUGAAAGAAAAGUUGGACACGUACAGUUUUUGACACGCUUGGACUAUUUUGGACGAAAAGCCGAGAAGUUGCUACAAAGUUUAUUAGAUUUUAAUUUUAUUUUUAAUCUUUAAUUUUUCAUAUUAUGUAUUCAAUUAUUUAGAUCAUGAUUAUAAAUAUUAGUUGCUAAAAACUCUUCUUUCAAGAUUAAAGUCAAAAACAUGAUUACUAUUAUUUUGAAUUAAUUUCAAUUAA
rnacentral:lncRNA from 1 species